GCAUAAUGUUACUAUAUAACUAAUAUGAAAUUUGUUUGAUAAAAUCAUAAAAAUUUUGAAUUUUUUCCCCAUUUUUUUUAAAAAGUGCAAAAAUCACUGCGCCCAAUGAGAUUUGAACACAGGACCUCAAAUUCAAUAGACUCGCGUGUUAUCACCCUGGAAAAUGACCUCUGCAAUUACAUGACAAAAAGGAGGAUUCAAGCACUAUACAAUUCCCUGAGGAUAUCUCAUUUGGAACUUCUACUAAUGCAUAUCAAAUUGAAGGUACUUGGAAUGCUGAUGGGAACAGCAAAAAUAUUUGGGAUAAAUAUUUUUUGAAUAAAUAUUCAUCUGUAAAUGAAUUAAACAAUGUCUCUCAUGAACAAAAAGCAAAUAAUAAUAGUGGCAUGAUUGCAUGUGAUGCAUAUCAUAAAACUGAUGUCGAUGUACAAAAUCUCAAGAAUCUU